GGGUCAGUAGGUUGGUCGUGCCACCGGUACGUACUGGUCUCACUGAUUCCUCCUUCCUGAAGAACCGUAAUGCCAUUAUUUUGGUGUUGCGGGGAAACAGGACUGUCACUUUGAAAAAAUUAGAGUGUUUAAAGCAAGCUAACGCUUGAAUACAUUAGCAUGGAAUAAUGAAAUAGGACGAUCGAUCCUAUUUUGUUGGUUUCUAGGAUUGACGUA
rnacentral:rRNA from 1 species